rnacentral:misc_RNA from 1 species
GACGGGGGAUCCUAGCGUUGUUCGGAAUUACUGGACGUAAAGCGCGCGUAGGUGGCUUGAUAAGCCGGUUGUGAAAGCCCCGGGCUCAACCUGGGAACGGCAUCCGGAACUGUCAAGCUAGAGUACAGGAGAGGAAGGUAGAAUUCCCGGUGUAGCGGUGAAAUGCGUAGAGAUCGGGAGGAAUACCAGUGGCGAAGGCGGCCUUCUGGACUGAUACUGACACUGAGGUGCGAAAGCGUGGGUAGCAAACAGG